GACAUGGUCCAAUAAUCUACUUUAGAUAGAUAGCCACAGCACUGAGGCAAGGACUCAAGCAGAGACUUGUACACUGGUGUUCGUUGUAGUAUUCACAGCAUCCCCAAAAGUUCAGCGUGGCAUACUCUUGCUUAUUUGGGUUAGGAGGUCACUGAUAGACUGAGAGGGGCCUCACACAAUCUAGACUGGCUUUUAGCUCACUACAUAGCUGAAGAUGACCUUUAAGAUCCUGAUCCUCCUUCCUCCACCUCCCUCCAGCCACCAUACCUAAUUAUAUGUGAUGCUGUGGAUGGAGCCUGGGGCUUUGUGCAUGUCAAGAAAGCUCACUACCUACUGGGCUAUGUUAACUUCUUCUUCUUCUUUUUGACAACUGUUUUUCUUUAACUUGUAGAGCUCAAGCUAAUGUCUUCAAAGUAAAGAAUAUUCAUCAUAGACAGACAGACUGUCCAGUUCAGUGAAAGAACACAUGAGAGGGUUGAGGAAGAAUAGAACUCCACAGCUGAGCCCCACUGUGAGGAAUAACCCAUUCAUUUUCCUUCACUGCAAAUUCAACAUAAAAAUUGAAGUUCCCAAACCACCAGCUUUCAUUUUUUUUGGACAAAAGCAGACCUCUAAGUCACUUACCAACAAAUACGGUUCAAGGUUAUUAAAUUUCGCUUUGAGGGGAAUUCAAUUAAAUCGAUCAUUAGCUAUUCAGAGUGGAUUUAUUGAUGCUGACUCAAAUUUUUAAAAAUAAAAAUUUUGAAAAUCAUUAAGACAAAAAGAAUUUAGUUUCUUAGAAGCCUGCCAAUAUUAAUUGCACCAGAAAGGCUGUAAUCAGGGUCUAUGUGGGGGAUCUUGCUUGUAUUAUUAAAAAAACAAAGUUAUUUUAGAAUGUAAUCUUUCUGAAGCAAAACUCUCCCCAUGGUACCACUCUGUUUCAAAGCCUUCAGGAGUUCUUAGAUCCUGAAGGUCACCUGUCACGGAGAUGUGGCAUAUAGACUCAGUGGACUAGCUCGUGGUGCCCCCCCACCCCAGCCUCAUUGCUUUGGAGCUCUGAGCUUUGGCAUCUUGGUGUUUGGUGCUUUUGUUUUGACCGCUCCUCUUAGUGAAAUGCUGACUAUGCAUUGCCUGAAUCCACUCAGCCUUCAGUCUUUCACCCAGGUAUCGUCAUGGCCAUGAAGAUUCCAUUCCCUGGGCUUGAGAACAAGCCCCUUUCUACCUCCCCUGGUUCCUAAGCAUAUUCCUCUAGAAUACCCAAGGGACUGCUGUAUACACUUGUUUCCAUGCCUCCUGUUGCCUGGUCAUGGGCUUCUCAAGGUCAAGUGCUGUCUGUGAUUCAUCAUUCCAACUUCUGAAGCCCUGCCUCCCAGAGGGGUUCAAGAAAGACUGAAUGAAUAAGCAAACUAACUACCUGGGCUAACACUGUGUCUCUGAUGGUAACCAGAAGUGACUUACAAGAAGGUAUCAUCAUCUCACUGGGUAAGGAGAAAGGGAUGGCCCUUGUUCCAUUUCCUCUUAGCCAUUUCUUUAAUCAGCCAUAAGUCAUGCUCCAAGAAUCAGUGAAUUAUUCUCUCUGCUGCUGUCCUCUCACAAAGCCAUGUGGAUCACAAGUAGUCUCUCUAUGUGAAACCUACCGGUGAUGAGAGAUGACACAGGAGAGUGCUACAAGAAAUACUCAGGGUGUUCACUGUUAACUCUGUUUUAAAUGCCUUUGUGUUGUGUGUGUGUUAGGAGGCGCAUGCCAUGAUUAACUCUUUUUUAAGAACUUUGGCAAUGCUUGCACAUGGCAAGUGAAUGUGGAAGUCAUGGGACAACUAUUUUGAGUUGGUUCUCACCUUGCACUGCAGGUUCCGGAGAUCAAACUCACUUCAUCAGGCUGUGUGCAAUUUUUACCUGCUGAGUCAUUUGACGGCCCACUAUUAUUUGUUUUUAUUUGGCACUUAUUAUGUACUAAUCACUUUGUAUAUACUAAUCAAUGAACUCUGAUACAAUUCCAAUAAAAUAUAUACUAUUACUAUUUCCACUUAAAAAUUUUUCAGAUGAGGAAUACAUGAGACUUAGAAGGUUGCUUGAUGAAAUAAAGCUAACAAGUAGCUGUUUGAGGAUUUGAACUUAGUAGUCUAACUACACAGCCUCAUGUUGCUAUGCACAUCAGUACUAUAGCAUCUAAUUUAUAUUAAAUAGAUACAUAUGUAUUAUGCAUGCCUCCAUUAUUUUGAGAGAGAGUUCCACUAUGUAGGGUGGGUUUGAAUUUUCUCUUCUUGUGCCUCAAAUUUCUGAAUGCUGGGGUUACAAUGCCCGCAUACUAGUUCAUGCUCCAAAUUGUUACUGGUGAAAAUAUAGAGUGUGUGUGUGUGUGUGUAAAUAUAUACUAAUUGUUUAAUAUAAUAUUUUAUUAUAUAGGUCUACCAAUAAGAAUGUAACUCUUUCUUCUAUGGACUGAUUCCUUUCUGUUGUUGUUUUUCAAAACAGGGUUUCUCUGUAUGGCCUUAACUCUCCUGGAACUCUUGCUCUGUAAGCCAGGGUAGUCUUGAACUCAGAGAUUCACCUGCUUAUGCCUCCCAAGUGCUGAAAUUAAAGGCAUGUGUCACCCACCCAGCUUAGAGUGAUUCUGUAUUCAAAUGAAGUUUAAGUUAACAACCCUAUCACCAGAUUGACUGACUAUUCAAAUGUCUUACCUCAUUGAUCAUAAGUAAUGAGCAGAGCUGCCCUGUAGGCUGCAGUUUGCCGACCUCCAGAUCAUGCCUUCCUUUCUUACCAAAAUUAGUGCCAAUUCCCGCACAAUGCAGUUCAAAGUGUCUUCCUUACUUAGCUCUCACUGUAUUCCCCAGCAUGUCAUUAUUUUCUACCUGGAGCAUUGCUGGUUCUCCUUGGAUGCUUCCAAAAAGCUUCAUGGUACAGUAGAUUAAAAGAAGUCAAGAAGAGCUGGUCAGUCUUGGAUCUACAACUUUGGGUCGGUAGAUGUGUUCUCCUGAUGUGAAGAGCCUCCCCUCUGACAGCUGCAAGCCUCACCUGCUCAUGGUUUCCAGAGGCUUACUAUAUUGCACAUCCCGGGGGCAUUAUUCAAAGCCAUGCUUCUGUAUGGUGAACAUUACUAAAGUGCAAAACCCUUCAUUUUAUAAAUAGAGAAGAAACUUUGUAAUUUUCUCCAACACAGUGGAAAGUUAUUUGUUAAACAGCAUGGCCAAAGGAGGAAGAAGGAUUUCCAGGCAGCUGACAGCUUACCUUUGGUGUGAUUCUGAAAUACUCUUCUCCUUGAGGCAUGUCUCUGAGAUUCUCGGAUGCUGCUUUGUGGGAGGCUACUGAAGUCCCUAACAUCCCUGGGCCCUUAGGCUUGCCUCAUCUAUUCCCCCCUCCCUUUCAUCCUUCCAUUUCCAGGAGAUGCUUGACUUGGAGGCCACAGACCACAGAAAUAGGAAAUUGCAGCCUGGUUUCUCCUGGAUUUUGACUGUGGAGAUGAACUGUGCCCUGCUUUAAGUUACUCUCUCUUAUGCCUUGCCCUGGGUGAUUCCAUUUUUUUCCUUUGUUGGUUUGCUUGUAAGAUGAUAUAGCCCUGGUUGCCUGGAACUCUGUAGAUCAGGAUAGCUUCAAAUUCACAGAGCUCUGUCCAUCUCUGCUUCCCAAGAUUCCUGAGAUUAAAGGUGUGUGCCACCAUGAAGAACUUUCUAGUGGCUCCAUGAGGUGGUCUGAAAGAAAAUGGUUCCCAAAGGGAGUGGCACUAUUAGGAGACAUGGCCUUGUUGGAGGAAGUGUGUCAAUGUGCAUGUUGGCUUUGAGGUCUCCUUUGCUCAAGCUAGGACCCAGUGAGACAGUCUACCUCCUGUUGCCUGUGAGUCAAAAUGUAAGAACUCUCAGCUCCUUCUCCAGCGCCAUGGCUGCCUGAGUAUGGUCUUGUUUUCCACCAUGAUACUAAUGGAUUGAACCUCUGAACUGCAAAGUGAGCCACCCCCAAUCAGAUGUUUUCCUUUAUAAGAGUUGCUGUGGUCAUGGUGUCUCUCCACAGCAAUAGAACCCCUAACUAAAACACUCCAUUUUAAAAAGCAGCAACUGACUCCAUUCUGAGUAUAAAUACAGAAGCAGAAUGACUCGGCAUCUAGUUUGUAUACAUAGACACCACCACCUGUCCAGCAUGAAUCAUAAGGCACAGAAUAAUAAUUAUUCAUACAAGUACAAAAAAAGUUCAUCUAUGAUUUUUUUUUAAAAGUAGAAUGCAAUCGUAUAAAAAAAUCUAAGUUUGUGAACUUAUGGAGCAUUCUAGGCCAAUGAAGGAUGCAGCAAAAUCACGCAGACCCCAUAAAAUGAGAAAUACCUAACACUACAGUGACAAUUGCUGUUACCUGACCACCCGAUGACCAUGCAUCAAGGAACCAACAGGCAGAAACUGACGGUCUCCAGGGCUUCAGCUUAGCACAGUCUCGUUGCCUGACAUGAGUCACACGAAAUUGCUUGCUAUCCACCCAGCCAUCCAUCCAUCCAUCCAUCUUGAGCCAAUCCUGUGCCUUCCCUCCACACUGCCCAUGCCUCUGGAGACUCUCAGCAGCUCUCCAACUGUGCUAAUUACGGCAUCUAACCACCUGUAAUGAUUCUUUUGGAACCCAUAUCAGAUCCCUGACUCAAUCUUUAGAAAGGCUACUUCAACAGUUUUGUAAACAUUCUGUAUUUGUGUGUGUGUGUGUGUGUGUGUCUCACACAUAUCACUCUGUGAAAUAUAAUGUGUGAUCUGAGAGUUAAUGUUAAUAAUUGAGAUUGGAAUAAAAAAUGUAAUAGGGCUUGAGAGAUGGCUCAGCAGUUCAGGGCAUACUUCUCUCACAGAGGACCAGAGUUCAGUUCCCAGCACCACAUCUGGCAUCUCAUAACUGCCUGUCACUCCAUCUCCAGGGGAUCCAAUGCCUCCUUUGGCCUCUUUCUGUACUUGCACUCAUGUGCAAGUUCACAUUAAUAUAUGCAAUUAAACAGUAAAAACUAAACCUGAAAAAUAAAAGAGCCUGGGAUUGCCAAAGGCCAUGCUAUCAAAGGAAAUCAAAAUUACUUGUUAAACUGCAGAUAAUGAAACUGAUAUAGUUUGUGGAUUUAUUGUUAACCAAUAAACUCUGACACAUGGAAAGAUA